UACGUAGGGACCAAGCGUUGUUCGGAUUUACUGGGCGUAAAGGGCGCGUAGGCGGCAUGACAAGUCACUUGUGAAAUCUCCGGGCUUAACUCGGAACGGUCAAGUGAUACUGUCGCGCUAGAGUGCGGAAGGGGCAAUCAGAAUUCUUGGUGUAGCGGUGAAAUGCGUAGAUAUCAAGAGGAAUACCUGAGGUGAAGACGGGUUGCUAGGCCGACACUGACGCUGAAGCGCGAAAGCCAGGGGGAGCAAACGGGG
rnacentral:rRNA from 1 species